UACGUAGGGUGCGAGCGUUAAUCGGAAUUACUGGGCGUAAAGCGUGCGCAGGCGGUUUUGUAAGCCAGAUGUGAAAUCCCCGGGCUUAACCUGGGAAUGGCAUAUGGGACUGCAAGGCUGGAGUGCGGCAGAGGAGACUGGAAUUCCUGGUGUAGCAGUGAAAUGCGUAGAUAUCAGGAGGAACACCGAUGGCGAAGGCAGGUCUCUGGGCUGACACUGACGCUCAUGCACGAAAGCGUGGGGAGCAAACAGG
rnacentral:rRNA from 1 species